CUUAAGAUCUUCCGAGAAAACCCAUUGUUGUAAGCAAGUUCUUAGUUGCCCUCAAUCAUCUACCAUGUCGGACAAGUGCGGAAACUGCGACUGCGCUGAUUCCACCCAGUGCACGAAGAAGGGAAACAAGAUGGACGACGUUAUUUUUGUGACUGAGAAGAGCUACACUGAGAGCAUAGUGAUGGAUGUUGCAGCAGCUGAGAAUGAUGGGUGCAAGUGCGGAGCCAACUGCAGCUGUACCGACUGCACUUGUGGCCACUAA